UUCUUUUUCUUUUUCUUUUUUUCUAUUUGUUUUCUUUUUCUUUUCUUUUUCUUUCUUUUUUCCUUUAUGUUUUCUUGCUGUUGGUUUUCUUUUUUGAUGUUCUUUUUUGGUGUUCUUUUUUCCUAUCAUCCUUUUGUUGAUGUUCGUUGGUCUGGGUGAGCCGCUUUCCUCCCAGAAGAGACCCGCCCAUAAUUUUGGAGAUGUUGUUAGGGCCGAAAGGUGGAUGAUGUUUGUUUUAUUUUAUUUUCUUGAUGUCGUGUUUUUCGUUCUUUUUAUUGCUUUUGUUUUCUUUUUCGAUGUUUUCCUGUUCUUUUCCUUUUUACUUCUUAUUGAUGCUUUUUGUUGUUGUUUUUUUCCUAUCAUCCUUUUGUUGAUGUUCCUUGGUCUGGGUGAGCCGCUUUCCUCCCAGAAGAGACCCAUCCAUAAUUUUGAUGAUGAUGUUUGGGGCCGAAAGGUGGAUGAUGUUUUUUUGUAUUUCUCUUUUCUUGAUGUUGUUCAUUUAUUUCUGUUGCUUUUCUUUUUCGAUGUUUUUUUCUGUUCUUUUUCCAUAUUUUUGUUGGUGUUCUUUUCUAUAUCAUCCCUUGUUGAUGUUCUUUGGUCUGGGUGAGCCGCUUUCUCCCCAGAAGAGACCCACCCAUAAUUUUGGUGAUGUUAGUCAGGGCCGGAAGGUGGAUGAUGUUUGUUAUAUUUUUCUUUCCUUGAUGUGUUUUUCUUUGUGUUUUUGAUGUUCAUUUAUUCAUAUCAUCCUUUUGUUGAUGUUCUUUGGUCUGGAUGAGCCGCUUUCUCCCCAGAAGAGACCCAUCCAUAAUUUUGGCGAUGUUAGGGCCUAAAGGUGGAUGAUCUUUUUUGUUUCUUUUCUUGAUGUUUCGUUUCUGUAUUUUCCAUUUUUCUGGUGUUCUUUUUUAUUUUCCUUUUCUUUGGUGUUCCCAUCGCGUGGAUUGUCUACGACAGUAUAACGAGCACCACAAGCCCGGGUUUGUUUAGAGUUUGCUCUCCUAGGUGAACUGCCUACCACGGCUGACGAGCUCCACCUGCCCGGGUUUGUUUAGAGUUUGCUCUCCUAGGUGAACUGCCUACCACGGCUGACGAGCUCCACCUGCCCGGGUUUGUUUAGAGUUUGCUCUCCUAGGUGAACUGCCUACCACGGCUAACGAGCUCCACCUGCCCGGGUUUGUUUAGAGUUUGCUCUCCUAGGUGAACUGCCUACCACGGCUGACGAGCUCCACCUGCCCGGGUUUGUUUAGAGUUUGCUCUCCUAGGUGAACUGCCUACCACGGCUAACGAGCUCCACCUGCCCGGGUUUAUUGUUCGGAGUUUGCUCUCCUAGGUGAACUGCCUACCACGGCUGACGAGCUCCACCUGCCCGGGUUUGUUUAGAGUUUGCUCUCCUAGGUGAACUGCCUACCACGGCUAACGAGCUCCACCUGCCCGGGUUUGUUUAGAGUUUGCUCUCCUAGGUGAACUGCCUACCACGGCUGACGAGCUCCACCUGCCCGGGUUUAUUGUUCGGAGUUUGCUCUCCUAGGUGAAUUGCCUACCACGGCUAACGAGCUCCACCUGCCCGGGUUUAUUUAGAGUUUGCUCUCCUAGGUGAACUGCCUACCACGGCUAACGAGCUCCACCUGCCCGGGUUUAUUUAGAGUUUGCUCUCCUAGGUGAACUGCCUACCACGGCUAACGACCUCCACCUGCCCGGGUUUGUAUAGAGUUUGCUCUCCUAGGUGAACUGCCUACCACGGCUAACGAGCCUCACCUGCCCGGGUUUGUAUAGAGUUUGCUCUCCUAGGUGAACUGCCUACCACGGCUAACGAGCCUCACCUGCCCGGGUUUGUAUAGAGUUUGCUCUCCUAGGCAGAUUGCCUACCACGGCUAACGAGCUCCACCUGCCCGGGUUCGUAACCGGAAGAUCUCCGGCACCUCCGUCGGGGCCCCGAGGGACGCCGAGGAGCCCUGCCUGGAGCCCUCCAGUCCUGCCAUGCUCGCCAGGGAGACCUUGGGCUCGCUGGCACUCCACACCCCCGCCGAGGCGAGGAUGCAAGAACUCGCUUCUUAAAACUACCAGACUGGAUUAUAAAAUUAAUCAUAAUUACUGUGAGGGCGCCGGUCACCGCGUUUAUCGGUUCAGGGAUGGAAGACCGACGGGCCUGGGAAACGCGCACAAGCAUCCAAAGGAAUCCUCGCGACGGCUUGCGACGCAGCGUCCGUUUCCCUUUUCUUACUUAUUCCAAUCUUUCUUUUUGUUAUAUUUUCCUUCUCUGAUUGAUUGAUUGAUUGAUUUUACUUGGUAGGAAUCUGUUCACCAAUUAACAUCAUUCAGGUAUACAUUGCACCCACACACCUGCUGAGAGAAAACACCAGUGAGAGUGCUGACGCUCACGAGGACGGCCCACUAGAGUUUCCUAACAUUCGCAUCGGGGCCCACCUCUCUUCAGUCGUCUGUCUC